rnacentral:snRNA from 1 species
UGCUUGCUUUUGCAGCACAUAUACUAAAAUGGGAACAAUAGAGAGAGAAUUUGCAUAACUGCUGAACAUGGGAAUACGAAACUUUGUGAAGCAUUC